rnacentral:rRNA from 1 species
UACAGAGGUCUCAAGCGUUGUUCGGAUUCAUUGGGCGUAAAGGGCGCGUAGGCGGCGGGGUAAGUCUGGUGUGAAAUCUAGGAGCUCAACUCCUAAACUGCACUGGAUACUGCUCUGCUAGAGGACUGGAGAGGAGACUGGAAUUCACGGUGUAGCAGUGAAAUGCGUAGAUAUCGUGAGGAAGACCAGUGGCGAAGGCGGGUCUCUGGACAGUUCCUGACGCUGAGGCGCGAAGGCCAGGGGAGCAAACAGG